rnacentral:rRNA from 1 species
GAGAUAUCUUGCGUGACUGGAGUUCAGACGUGUGCUCUUCCGAUCUGCGGGGGCACGGGGGGAGGAAUUGGCGGGGGAGCACCACAACGGGUGGAGCUUGCGGUUUAAUUGGAUUCAACGCCGGAAAUCUUACCGGGACCGACAGCAAUAUGAAGGCCAGGCUGAAGACUUUGCCGGAUUAGCUGAGAGGUGGUGCAUGGCCGUCGUCAGUUCGUACUGUGAAGCAUCCUGUUAAGUCAGGCAACGAGCGAGACCCACGCCCACAGUUGCCAGCGUACUCUCUGGAGUGACGGGUACACUGUGGGGACCGCCGCUGCUAAAGCGGAGGAAGGAAUGGGCAACGGUAGGUCAGUAUGCCCCGAAUAUCCCGGGCUACACGCGAGCUACAAUGGUUGGUACAAUGGGUAUCUACCCCGAAAGGGGACGGGAAUCUCCUAAAACCAAUCUUAGUUCGGAUUGAGGGCUGCAACUCGCCCUCAUGAAGCUGGAAUCCGUAGUAAUCGCGUUUCAACAGAACGCGGUGAAUACGUCCCUGCUCCUUGCACACACCGCCCGUA